AAAUUGAAGAGUUUGAUCAUGGCUCAGAUUGAACGCUGGCGGCAGGCCUAACACAUGCAAGUCGAACGGUAACAGGAAGCAGCUUGCUGCUUCGCUGACGAGUGGCGGACGGGUGAGUAAUGUCUGGGAAACUGCCUGAUGGAGGGGGAUAACUACUGGAAACGGUGGCUAAUACCGCAUAACGUCGCAAGACCAAAGAGGGGGACCUUCGGGCCUCUUGCCAUCAGAUGUGCCCAGAUGGGAUUAGCUUGUUGGUGAGGUAACGGCUCACCAAGGCGACGAUCCCUAGCUGGUCUGAGAGGAUGACCAGCCACACUGGAACUGAGACACGGUCCAGACUCCUACGGGAGGCAGCAGUGGGGAAUAUUGCACAAUGGGCGCAAGCCUGAUGCAGCCAUGCCGCGUGUAUGAAGAAGGCCUUCGGGUUGUAAAGUACUUUCAGCGGGGAGGAAGGUGUUGCGGUUAAUAACCGCAGCAAUUGACGUUACCCGCAGAAGAAGCACCGGCUAACUCCGUGCCAGCAGCCGCGGUAAUACGGAGGGUGCAAGCGUUAAUCGGAAUUACUGGGCGUAAAGCGCACGCAGGCGGUCUGUCAAGUCGGAUGUGAAAUCCCCGGGCUCAACCUGGGAACUGCAUUCGAAACUGGCAGGCUUGAGUCUUGUAGAGGG
rnacentral:rRNA from 1 species